AUAAUAUGGAAGAGAUAGCUUAGCCGGCCGGCAAGUCAUCCUUGGCUGCAGUACUGUACCUCAUUUAAACAUGCUAGACCUUAGAUGAAGAAAUCCGGCAUCGAUCCAUAAAUGUAUCAGCAAAGAGUUUGAAGAACAAUGGGUGCCAUAUAAUGGAGAAUGAGGUUGACAUAUAUACGUGAAGGCCUUGGGUGAGUGGAUGUGACCACUGCAUGGGUCCUGCAGUCAGCAUAGUAAAAGCCCUAUAACGUGUUAAUUUCAUCCAACUAAUACGAUAAUUUACUUCUAUUAAUUCAUGUAAUUACUUUUAAGAACUAACAUGAGUAUUUUUCGAACUUCUUUUAUACAAAAAAAGAAAAAAAGAAAAAAUAAAAGCUGACAGUAUCUUAUUGCGUA